UACGUAGGGUGCAAGCGUUGUCCGGAAUUACUGGGCGUAAAGCGUGCGCAGGCGGUGAUGUAAGACAGUUGUGAAAUCCCCGGGCUCAACCUGGGAACUGCAUCUGUGACUGCAUUGCUGGAGUGCGGCAGAGGGGGAUGGAAUUCCGCGUGUAGCAGUGAAAUGCGUAGAUAUGCGGAGGAACACCGAUGGCGAAGGCAAUCCCCUGGGCCUGCACUGACGCUCAUGCACGAAAGCGUGGGGAGCAAACAGG
rnacentral:rRNA from 1 species